UUACGUCGAGUAGCCGCCAUCGACACAUCGAUCGACGUCACUCCGCGUCUUGCGCGUCUUUUGUCUGUCGAAAGUGAGUCUCGCGCGAAAAUAAGUAUCGAGAGUGUCGAAAUAGCGAUGCGUGACCAUCAGGACGUAUCGCAGGUACGUUAUUAAUUAGGGAGUAAUCUUAUUGUCGGUGUAUUGCAGCCGCUGCUUGUCGCGAUGCGUGUCGAGUCGACGUCUCUUACGUUUGCAAGUAUCUUCGUCUCAUUCAAGUAGUAAUAGAAUCGAAUAACCGUCGGGUUUCUUAAUCGGGGAUUAGAAAUGCGCUGUGAUAAUCAGAGGGAAAGAGAAAAAGACGACACCAGAGAUAUAUUCGUGGCGUCAAAUCUCGGGAAAUAGUGUCGAUCUGUUAGCGGGGGGAGAGAGAGAGAGAAGGAUAAUAGCGCGCGUCGUGUUGUAGAAGAGCGACACCGUUCACCCCGCGGCGCGUGUAAUCAAUUGCGCGCCAUCUUGUGUAUCGAUCUUUCCGCAUUGAGCAGCCGUCCUUGACACAUUGAUCGACACAAACGCUCCGCGUUUUCCGCGUCUGUUGUCCGUUGAAAGUGAGUCUCGCACAGAAAUACGUCUCGGAAGUGCCAGCAUAGCGACGUGUGAUCGUCGGAACGUAUCGUAAAUCCGAUGGAGCUUGCGGUCACGCGUUGAGAGCGAUUUCCUGAAGGUGCACCGGAGGAUCCGGUUCGGGCUGAGUAGAAUCGAUUUGAAGAACUGGGUAGCGGAACGUGGCCGAUUCUAAUCUGUGCUGGUAAUCGGAUCCUACGUGUCGGACGUGUACAUGCCGCCAUGAAGUUCACCCUUGCCUCCCGGGAGCGCGGCUUGAGGACGAAGUAGCUGAAGGCGAACCGAAACUUUCUCGUAAGGAUAUUCUCUCGCGGGCGUGUUUUAUUGCCGCGGCACCGCCGUGCCUGGGAGUAUCUCGUGGAGAUUUUUGUUGCGGAGCAGUCGCCGAUGGACCGCUAUCCGCUUCCUUUAUCCGCGCUCUGCUCCACCGAGGUCGCUGCCCUGGAUUCGCCCUGGGGACCGCCGAUCGGACGAAUUCCUCGAGAAGGCGAAAGGACUGGCUCGAGGAAGGAAAUUGAUUCGCCUAUCGCACGCGUGCAGGCGUGUGUCUGACGAUACGCCAUCGCCCUUCGCGAGAGACCGUCUGGCCGGAGAGAAGGGGAGAAAAGGAAAGAGAAGAAGAAAGGAAGAAAAAG